ACAUAUCCUCAUUAGGAUAGUAAAGGUAAGCACAUAUCCACAUUAGGAUAGUAAAGGUAAGCACAUAUCCGCAUUAGGAUAGUAAAGGUAAGCACAUAUCCUCAUUAGGAUAGUAAAGGUAAGCACAUAUCCGCAUUAGGAUAGUAAAGGUAAGCACAUAUCCACAUUAGGAUAGUAAAGGUAAGCACCCACGGUGUUCCCAGUGCCCCUCGCUGGCAGGAGGAGCAUGGGUGUGUGUGCCUGCAUGUCUGUGCUCUGUCACUGGCAGGUAAAUUAAGAAUUCAUUAAAAUUUUAAAGAAUUAAGGGAGCUCUGUCCAUGGCAGGUAGCACUGGAUAAACAGGAACUUUCAAUGCAGACAGAUGUAAAAUACAGGUGUGCAAAUAAGAACAAAGUAGUUUCGUGCAUUAAAAACAAAAAGAAAAUUCUCUUGCUAUUUGACCUUACCUGUGCAGUAAGUGCACCAAAAUUGGCCUUUUUGUGGACAAACUCACUGAACACACCAGUGAGCUCUGGUGUUAAAAUGGGUUAAAUCAACCCAAAAGUUUUAACUCUGUUUUGCUAGAAACAUUUAAGCCCAGCUAUGGCUCGUGAUUAUUGUCAGAAUGCAAAUGAGAUUGUUCUCAUUGUUAAUUGAAGUUGUUUCUUUUACAAUGGGUGUAUAUAAUCAACUCUAAGAGAUCACAAAGGUGAGAUAACAUACCCUGAAAGUAGCAUUUUUUUUCUUUAAGUGCACGUGUAUGUGUAUAUCUGUGUGUGUGCGUGCCUUGGACUAAUGAUAAUUAUUUCAGUGUGAAAUCACAGUGGUUUACAUGAAAUAAUAAGAUCACAGAAGGGGGUAAAUAUAUUUUUGAUCAUUUUAGGUUCUAUCUAAUGCUUUUUGGUCUAGUAUUUUAUAAUGUUUAUGGUCUUGUGUGCAGUGAACACAUUGAAGGCAUGAAUAAAUUAAAACUGAAAUGUAUUAAAUGUGCUUUAAAUGUGCUUUUCAUAACAGAAAACAACAGGCACAGACAGAUUAUUCCUACUUGUCAGCUAGCUGAGGAAAGCUUUUUUUCCUUGUGCUUUAUUUAUACCAAUAUUACAUUCAGAAGCAGCUAUAACAAACCCAAGGACUUCUGAAAUAGUAGAACAGUAAAUAGUUUCUAUGCAGAGCACAGAGCA